UACGUAGGGUGCGAGCGUUGUCCGGAAUUAUUGGGCGUAAAGAGCUUGUAGGCGGUUUGUCGCGUCUGCUGUGAAAAUCCGGGGCUCAACCCCGGACUUGCAGUGGGUACGGGCAGACUAGAGUGUGGUAGGGGAGACUGGAAUUCCUGGUGUAGCGGUGAAAUGCGCAGAUAUCAGGAGGAACACCAAUGGCGAAGGCAGCUCGCUGGAACGGUACUGACGCUGAGGCGCGAAAAGCGUGGGGGAGCGAACAGG
rnacentral:rRNA from 1 species